AUUGAACGCUGGCGGCAGGCCUAACACAUGCAAGUCGAGCGGUAGAGAGAAGCUUGCUUCUCUUGAGAGCGGCGGACGGGUGAGUAAUGCCUAGGAAUCUGCCUGGUAGUGGGGGAUAGCGUUCGGAAACGGACGCUAAUACCGCAUACGUCCUACGGGAGAAAGCAGGAGACCUUCGGGCCUUGCGCUAUCAGAUGCGCCUAGGUCGGAUUAGAUAGUUGAUGCGGUAAUGGAUCAGCAAGGCAACGAUCCGUAACUGGUCUGAGAGGAUGAUCAGUCACACUGGAACUGAGACACGGUCCAGACUCCUACGGGAGGCAGCAGUGGGGAAUAUUGGACAAUGGACGAAAGCCUGAUCCAGCCAUGCCGCGUGUGUGAAGAAGGUCUUCGGAUUGUAAAGCACUUUAAGUUGGGAGGAAGGGUUGUAGAUUAAUACUCUGCAAUUUUGACGUUACCGACAGAAUAAGCACCGGCUAACUCUGUGCCAGCCGCCGCCGUAA
rnacentral:rRNA from 1 species